rnacentral:rRNA from 1 species
CGCCAGACUCCUACGGGAGGCAGCAGUGGGGAAUAUUGCACAAUGGGGGAAACCCUGAUGCAGCGACGCCGCGUGAGCGAUGAAGUAUUUCGGUAUGUAAAGCUCUAUCAGCAGGGAAGAAGAUGACGGUACCUGACUAGGAAGCCCCGGCUAACUACGUGCCAGCAGCCGCGGUAAUACGUAGGGGGCAAGCGUUAUCCGGAUUUACUGGGUGUAAAGGGAGCGUAGACGGCGAUGCAAGCCAGAUGUGAAAGCCCGGGGCGCAACCCCGGGACUGCAUUUGGAACUGUGUGGCUGGAGUGUCGGAGAGGCAGGCGGAAUUCCUAGUGUAGCGGUGAAAUGCGUAGAUAUUAGGAGGAACACCAGUGGCGAAGGCGGCCUGCUGGACGAUGACUGACGUUGAGGCUCGAAAGCGUGGGGAGCAAACAGGAUUAGAUACCCGAGUAGAA